rnacentral:tRNA from 1 species
GCGCGGGUGGUGAAAUGGCAUACACGCAUCCUUGAGGUGGAUGUGCCCGUAAGGGCGUGGAGGUUCGACUCCUCUCCCGCGCA